rnacentral:rRNA from 1 species
CGCACGGGUGAGUAACGCGUGGGUAUCUGCCUAUUAGUGGGGGACAACUUGGAGAAAUCCAAGCUAAUACCGCAUAAUCUCUACGGAGGAAAGCGGGGGAUCUUCGGACCUCGCGCUGAUAGAUGGGCCCGCGUCUGAUUAGCUAGUUGGUAAGGUAAUGGCUUACCAAGGCGAUGAUCAGUAACUGGUUUGAGAGGAUGAUCAGUCACACUGGAACUGAGACACGGUCCAG